GGAUUAGAUACCCUGGUAGUCCACGCCCUAAACGAUGAAAACUAUUCUUUGGAAUUUUCAGAGAAGAAGCUAACGCGAUAAGUUUUCCGCCUGGGGAGUACGACCGCAAGGUUAAAACUUAAAGGAAUUGACGGGGACCCGCACAAGCGGUGGAGUAUGUGGUUUAAUUCGAAGGUACGCGCAAAACCUUACCAGCUCUUGACAUGCUAGCAGCAGGUCCAUGAAAAUGGAUUUUCAUUUAGUUGGGCUAGCACAGGUGCUGCAUGGCCGUCGUCAGCUCGUGUUG
rnacentral:rRNA from 1 species